rnacentral:rRNA from 1 species
AGUAACACGUGGAUAACCUACCUAUAAGACUGGGAUAACUUCGGGAAACCGGAGCUAAUACCGGAUAAUAUUUUGAACCGCAUGGUUCAAAAGUGAGAGACGGUCUUGCUGUCACUUAUAGAUGGAUCCGCGCUGCAUUAGCUAGUUGGUAAGGUAACGGCUUACCAAGGCAACGAUGCAUAGCCGACCUGAGAGGGUGAUCGGCCACACUGGAACUGAGACACGGUCCAG